UACGUAGGUGACAAGCGUUGUCCGGAUUUACUGGGCGUAAAGAGCGCGCAGGCGGUCGAUCAAGUCGAGUGUGAAAGCCCCCGGCUCAACUGGGGAGGGUCAUUCGAUACUGAUCGACUCGAAGGCAGGAGAGGGUAGUGGAAUUCCCGGUGUAGUGGUGAAAUGCGUAGAUAUCGGGAGGAACACCAGUGGCGAAGGCGACUACCUGGCCUGUUCUUGACGCUGAGGCGCGAAAGCUAGGGGAGCAAAGCGGG
rnacentral:rRNA from 1 species